UGUCACCAAAACAUUUCAUACGCAAGAUAACUCCAGAACAGAAGCUUUCAACCACCUGUGAACCCAGGGGUUUGAGACCCCACAGGAAAGAAUGAGAAUUGGAACACCUGGGGGCAGGGACAGCAUUUCCCAGGCACUGCACCAGCCCUGGGGCUCUGGGCAGGACAGGGCUCUGCAGGCAGCUCUGUGAGCCUGGCGGCCUCUGCGCCUCCUUCUCUCUCUCUCUCCACAGGCAUUGUCUUUUUUGGACUCCUUGGGAAAAUCCAGUCUGCCCUCUCCAGUUUCCCGGUGACCUUGGAGCAUUCUGCGGAGCUGGACUUGCAGAAUUACCCCUUUCCAGCUGUCUUCAUCGACUGGCUCCUGCAGAUUGCAGGCAUCGAUGCCAGGAGCACGCAGUAGGCACAGGGCCAGCAGUGCCUCAGGU